rnacentral:rRNA from 1 species
GGCACCUGCACAGGUGCUGCAUGGCUGUCGUCAGCUCGUGUCGUGAGAUGUUGGGUUAAGUCCCGCAACGAGCGCAACCCUUGUCUUCAGUUACCAUCAUUCAGUUGGGGACUCUGGAGAGACUGCCGGUGACAAACCGGAGGAAGGUGGGGAUGACGUCAAAUCAUCAUGCCCCUUAUGACCUGGGCUACACACGUACUACAAUGGCGUAUACAACGGGAAGCGAAAUGGUGACAUGGAGCAAAUCUCACAAAGUACGUCUCAGUUCGGAUUGAAGUCUGCAACUCGACUUCAUGAAGUCGGAAUCGCUAGUAAUCGCGGAUCAGCAUGCCGCGGUGAAUACGUUCUCGGGCCUU